AAAAAACUUAUCAACAUCUUUUUGAAAUAAUUUGACUGAUAUUUAUUAUUACAUAGCUCAAGGCGAAAAAACACUAAGAAAAUUCAGCAAACAGCAACAUGAAAAGACCAAACAGACAACUAAGCCACAUACAUCAACAUGAAACGAGAAAACAAUAAAUAAAGGAAACAACAGUCAACCAAAAAAACACCUAGAAACUACCAAGGCCAAAAGAAAGAAGAAAUCCGCCCAAGCCAAAACAGCAGCACAUUCCAGAAGCCAAAUAUCAGCCAAACAGUUCCCUCACCUUAAGUAAAAGAAGAAGGAACAAGUGCUUUGAAAUCCAAACUUGAGAUUCAGCGAACCUUCUCCACAUUCAAAGCAAAUCAAAGGGCACAUUGAUGACUUUAGUUCCAGGCCAAUCGACCCUUCAUCGCCAUCGUCUGCAUAGAAUCUGGCACCCAUCAUCCCAGCCCCCAAAAGCCUGUCUUCUCAGACCUUCCAAGCUAACGUGUGCGCCGCUCCAUUCACCAUUCGAGGCCCAAAGAGUGAAUCACCUUCCACGAUUAGUCGCCGGAAGCCUAUAGCACCCGCUAAAAGUAGAGCCCUUUUGCAUGCCCGUGCCUCCACCACAAAAGCAUCAACCACAUCCUUAAAAAGAUAAGUCUCCGCCCCCACAAUUUCUCCUUCCAAGUUUCUAGCUAAAACUGAUGUUAUAGCGAUUCUAUCAACACUUUGAAAAGUCGCAUCAAAGUUUAACUUAAUAACUCCAGUGUCUGGGGGUUUCCAAAUUUCAUUUGCUAUAGAUCUAAAGGAUGGACAGAAGUUCUAUUGAUUAAGAAUAAGUUCUUGAUUAUACCCUCUAAUAAACCCCAAUAGCUCCUGCAAAGAAAACUUUACACUUUCAUGUAUCAAUUUAUUCCUUCGAUGCCAUAGACCCCAUAAGGAAAGAGCCAUAAUUUGGCUUUGUUGUUCUUCUGCUGCAGAAAAGAUGUUAGCAAAACGAAUCUUCCAACUUAUCAAAGCUUAACGAUGCCCAUACACACUGUAAGAAAUCACAAGACCACACCAGGUGAUCAGCAUCCUCUGGAUCUUUCUUGCACAAAGGGCAGACAGUUUCAACACUCAAAGUUCUACGCGCCAGGUUGCAGAAAUGGGGCAAAAAAUUAUCAAACAUCCUCCAUAUGUGUAUUUUUACUUUUUCAGGAAUGUGUAAAGCCCAUAAUGAUUUGUAAAAUUCAUUGUAUUCCUCACCGUUAGGGGAAGUGUCUAAAGUAUUCUGUAUGUGUUCUGAAGAUAAGACCCGAUACCCACUUUUAAUUGUAUAUUCCCUCAAGCCUUCAUAUUUCCAAACCAUCAUGUCCGCCGAUCUAUCCCUUGAAAUAAGAAUAGAGAAAAUACGAGUUGUUGUAUCAGCAUAAAAAAUAUUAUGAACAAGCUCCUUAUUCCAGGUAUUAGUCUCAUAAUUGAUCAGUUGAUUCAUCUUAGUUCAGUUAGGCAUAA